rnacentral:rRNA from 1 species
UACGGAGGAUCCAAGCGUUAUCCGGAAUUACUGGGCGUAAAGAGUUGCUUAGGCGGCAUUGUAAGCAGGUAGUGAAAGCGUGUGGCUCAACCAUACUCACAUUAUCUGAACUGCAAAGCUAGAGGACAAGAGAGGUCACUGGAAUUCCUUGUGUAGGAGUGAAAUCCGUAGAUAUAAGGAGGAACACCGAUGGCGUAGGCAGGUGACUGGCUUGUUCCUGACGCUCAGGCACGAAAGCGUGGGUAGCAAACGGG